AGAAGACUCCCUUCGGGAGUCUUCUCCCCUGUUUUUCUAUUUUUUUUUGUUCGUUUGGAUUCUUACAUGGGUUGGGCCAUCACAGAUGGUGUCCGGCACAAAGGCCGGACAAGAUUCGGUCCUAGCUACGGGUUUGUCUACGGUACCAGUACUAUAGGAAACUGGGGCCGACGAACUCGUAGAACUACUAGAAGAGGAGAUAUCGGAAGACAUUUUG
rnacentral:lncRNA from 1 species